CCCUUAGAUGUUCGGGGCCGCACGCGCGCUACACUGAAGGAAUCAGCACGUCUUUCUCCUUGUCCGAAAGGACUGGGUAACCCGCUGAACCUCCUUCGUGCUAGGGAUUGGGGCUUGUAAUUCUUCCCCAUGAACGAGGAAUUCCCAGUAAGCGCGAGUCAUAAGCUCGCGUUAAUUACGUCCCUGCCCUUUGUACACACCGCCCGUCGCUACUACCGAUUGGAUGGUUUAGUGAGAUCCUCGGAUUGGUCCCGGCGCGGCCUCUGGUCGUGCCGGAGUGCCGAAAAGAAUGUCGAACUUGAUCAUCUAGAGGAAGUAAAAGUCGUAACA
rnacentral:rRNA from 1 species